UGUGUAGGCGGUGUGAUUAGUCGAAUGUUAAAUCCUCGGGCUCAACCCGAGGCUCGCAUUCGAAACGGUCACACUCGAGAGAGUGAGAGGUGUGCGGAACUCAAGGUGUAGGGGUGAAAUCCGUUGAUAUCUUGGGGAACACCAAAUGCGAAGGCAGCACACUGGCACUUUUCUGACGCUGAGACACGAAAGCGUGGGUAGCGAACG
rnacentral:rRNA from 1 species